rnacentral:misc_RNA from 1 species
GUGAAAAUUUUCUCCUCUUAUUGGAGUAGGGAGAUGCAUCAUUUCUCAAGUCUUUAUCAAGGAAGUGAUUCUAGCCUGUUCAAUUAAAAAAGAGAGCAAAUAUUUAUGACUGCCAAGUGUUUAGACGCUGAAGGGAGAAAAAGCCAAUUGACUAGAAAGUUGCUGAAGCCUUACCUUCAUGAGUCUCGACAUUUACAUGCCAUGAGAAGGGUAAGAGGUUGUGGAGGCCGUUUUAUAAACACGAAGAAGCUUGAAAACGGUGCUGCUAACACCACAUCUGAUAUGGUCAACAGCUUCAGUGAAACUGUUCCAAAACCUUCAACAAACUCACCAUCAGCUCACUCUUCUAAGAAUGCCGAUCCAUCGGCAGGUAAUGCUGCAAUAGAAUCCCCACAACUGACCUACACUAGUGGCAAUGGUAAUGGGUGCUACCAAUCCUUUCUUGGAUUUCAAUUGUCAUCUUAUCACUCUCAAUCAGAUGGUAUGGUGGAAGAAAGGGAUUGCAACAUGAAAGAAUUAUGGUAGAUUUGAGCCUUGCAUAGGCCGUCACCAGCACUAAACCUUCCUUGGUUCCUUGGUAUCCAACAUUGCCAACUGUAGUAAAGUGUCUACAAAACUUGGAGAAAGGGAAGGUAUUCCACUCUGCAUUGCAUGUACUACUUAAUGCUCUUGUUUGCAUCCCAUAGAAGAUGUUUCUUUCUUACUGAUUGGGUUUUGUAUAUAGUUGGAAAAGCUGGAAGUGUUAACCUUGGUCACAUAUGCAGGAUCCAAGAUUUAUAUGUUUUGUGCUUGCAGGCUAAUCAUUCUUGGCUUUGCCACUGGUAACAGAUAGGGUAUUUCUGGUUUUGCUUAUUUUUUAGUUACGUGUACGUUUAUGGUGGAUGUGUUAUAAGAAAGUGAAGACGAUUAGAUCUAAUAUUGAAGCUUUUGUAGAAAUAUCAUGGAAGUUUUUGGAUGUUUUGGUUUUGCUUGGUCUUCUUUUUCUGUGAUACGACCAUAAAUAUAUUUACUGGAUGAAAAGAGUGUGUGUGGUGUAGACAAAUUUGAUGUUUACGCAACUUUUUCGAUGGGUAGACAUUUCUGUACAAACAGGUAAUAAAUAGAAAAUUAUAUAUCACGUGUACCUCCAUUGGAUGGAUGGCA